rnacentral:rRNA from 1 species
UGGGGAAUAUUGCACAAUGGGCGCAAGCCUGAUGCAGCCAUGCCGCGUGUAUGAAGAAGGCCUUCGGGUUGUAAAGUACUUUCAGUCGGGAGGAAGGUGGUAAGGUUAAUAACCUUAUCAAUUGACGUUACCGACAGAAGAAGCACCGGCUAACUCCGUGCCAGCAGCCGCGGUAAUACGGAGGGUGCAAGCGUUAAUCGGAAUUACUGGGCGUAAAGCGCACGCAGGCGGUUGAUUGAGUCAGAUGUGAAAUCCCCGGGCUUAACCCGGGAAUUGCACCUGAUACUGGUCAGCUAGAGUCUUGUAGAGGGGGGUAGAAUUCCAUGUGUAGCGGUGAAAUGCGUAGAGAUGUGGAGGAAUACCGGUGGCGAAGGCGGCCCCCUGGACAAAGACUGACGCUCAGGUGCGAAAGCGUGGGGAGCAAACAGG